GACGGAGGGUGCAAGCGUUGUUCGGAUUGACUGGGCGUAAAGGGCGUGUAGGCGGUUGGUCAAGUCUGAUGUGAAAGCCCGGGGCUCAGCCCCCGGAAGGGCAUCGGAAACUAGCCAGCUGGAGCGCGAUAGAGGAGGGUGGAAUUCCUGGUGUAGCGGUGAAAUGCGUAGAUAUCAGGAGGAACACCGGCGGCGAAGGCGGCCCUCUGGAUCGUUGCUGACGCUGAGACGCGAAAGCGUGGGGAGCAAACAGG
rnacentral:rRNA from 1 species